rnacentral:rRNA from 1 species
UGGGGAAUAUUGGACAAUGGGGGCAACCCUGAUCCAGCGAUGCCGCGUGAGUGAAGAAGGCCUUCGGGUUGUAAAGCUCUUUCACCUGAGACGAUGAUGACGGUAUCAGGAGAAGAAGCACCGGCUAACUCUGUGCCAGCAGCCGCGGUAAGACAGAGGGUGCUAGCGUUGUUCGGAAUGACUGGGCGUAAAGGGCGCGUAGGCUGCCUUUUAAGUCAGGCGUGAAAGCCCCGGGCUUAACCUGGGAACUGCGUUUGAUACUGAAAGGCUUGAGUGCGGAAGAGGAGAGUGGAAUUCCUAGUGUAGAAGUGAAAUUCGUAGAUAUUAGGAGGAACACCGGAGGCGAAGGCGACUCUCUGGUCCGCAACUGACGCUGAGGCGCGAAAGCGUGGGGAGCAAA